rnacentral:rRNA from 1 species
CAGUAGCCGCGGGAACACGUAGGUGGCAAGCGUUGUCCGGAAUUAUUGGGCGUAAAGCGUGCGCAGGCGGUUUUGUAAGACAGGCGUGAAAUCCCCGGGCUCAACCUGGGAAUGGCGCUUGUGACUGCAAAGCUAGAGUGCGGCAGAGGGGGAUGGAAUUCCGCGUGUAGCAGUGAAAUGCGUAGAUAUGCGGAGGAACACCGAUGGCGAAGGCAAUCCCCUGGGCCUGCACUGACGCUCAUGCACGAAAGCGUGGGGAGCAAACAGGAUUAGAUACCCCAGUAGUCCCUGUCUCUUAUAC